GACCUCGACCCGGCUCCCCCGUGCGUGACGCCGCUCCUCCUCCUCUGCGCCGCAGUCCCUCCCCGGCGCCGCCGCACGCUCUGGCCACCUUCUUGACGCCACCACGCGCGUACACUAUUUUUUGAGGUCUUCAUAGCUGUUGCGGGUCUGACUGUACCGCGUCGCGUCGCCACAGUCCCGCUAGCUUGAUUCCACUGUCACCCUAGGUAUGACCACUAUUUUCGCAUCAUAGUCGUAGAUCACGUAACCCAGUUAAGUGUCCUCCCGUUCGAAAUAGAUACAAUGUAGAUAUAUAGAUCUUUGCAUAUCUAUAAAUGUUAUUUAUUUUGAAUUGUCUAUGUUUUUAGACAGCCCAUGGUUGUGUAGAUGAUAUUAGUUUCCAUGUGCACGCCGCGUGACCUAGACAUGUCCAAAUGGGCUGGCCUGGCAGUGGGCCCGUGACCUGGCACGGUCAUAGCCCGGCACGAGCACGACCCGACUAGAACCGUGCCCGGGCCGAUAGCCGUGCUGGGCUUGGGCUGGCUGUCUGGCCCGCGGUGCAGGCACGGAUCCGGCACGGUUAAUUGGUAGGCACGAUAACGUCCCGUUUUAGGAACUUAUUUUGUAACUGUCAGUCUGUUUUUAGCUAUAAUACUGAUGAUAUGUUAUUAUAUAAGAGUAUUCUGAAUUGUGAUAUGUGUUUAUGUGUAUAUGAAAUUGUUU
rnacentral:lncRNA from 7 species